rnacentral:rRNA from 1 species
CCUACGGGAGGCAGCAGUGAGGAAUAUUGGUCAAUGGGCGUAAGCCUGAACCAGCCAAGUCGCGUGAGGGAUGACGGUUCUAUGGGUCGUAAACCUCUUUUAUAAGGGAAUAAAGUGUGGGACGUGUCCUAUUUUGUAUGUACCUUAUGAAUAAGGAUCGGCUAACUCCGUGCCAGCAGCCGCGGUAAUACGGAGGAUCCGAGCGUUAUCCGGAUUUAUUGGGUUUAAAGGGUGCGUAGGUGGCUUUUUAAGUCAGCGGUGAAAGUUUGUGGCUCAACCGUAAAAUUGCAAUUGAUACGGGGGGCCUUGAGUAUAUUUGAGGCAGGCGGAAUGCGUGGUGUAGCGGUGAAAUGCUUAGAUAUCACGCAGAACUCCGAUUGCGAAGGCAGCCUGCUAAGCCACGACUGACGUUGAUGCACGAAAGUGUGGGGAUCAAACAGGAUUAGAUACCCUAGUAGUC